rnacentral:misc_RNA from 1 species
CGUAGGUGAACCUGCGGAAGGAUCAUUAACAAAUCCUAGCCAUUGCUCUUUUGUGGAGCAACGGUAUAACACCGUGCACUGGCGACCGGAGAUGGGAGAUUGAAUCUCGGCUGGGCUCUUGGGAGGUGUGCAACCGGGAAUUAAAUUGGAUGGUGCACUUAAAUCAGCGGGAAUCACCUUGCGACCGCCCUCUGGGCCUCUCAUGAGUUCUCCCAUCUUUGGUUUUUUGUGACUUUUUAAGAAACUUGUAUUAAAUUUUGGUGUACAUGUUUGUUGAAAAAUAAUUGACAACUUCUGACGGUGGAUCUCUUGGCUCGUGCAUCGAUGAAGAACGCAGCAAGCUGCGAUACCUAGUGUGAAUUGCAGAAUUCAGUGAAUCAUCGAGUCUUUGAACGCAAAUGGCGCUCCCGGGUCUCCUCGGGAGCAGGUCUGUCCGAGCGUCUGCCUACCAAAUUCAUUGUCACAACACUGCACGUGUGGUGACAAGAUUGAGGAGCUGCGACAGCAUGUUGGUUGUAUCGCACUCCUUGAAAAACACGAGUCUGUGCAAGUAGACAAUGUGUGUGACAAGGCAGUCUCCGACGGGACAGUCGUCACAACGGUGUAGCAAGUUGUUUCGUUGUCUCUAUCGUCGUGUCUCUGUCCCUUGUCCGUGUUGAUCUGCCAGCCACAGCCUCAGGAAAC